UACGUCGGCGUCUGAUUCGUACGUCGCCCACCUCCUCCCCCCGUCGUCUCGUUCAAACUAAAUUGUCUCCGUCAGAUCUGCUCCAUCCCCGCCGCCGCUCCGUCCCCUUGCUGGCAUCUCCAUUGCGCCGUCCCCGGCGUCGGCGUCGCCCCGUUCUCCAUCCACCGUCGCGGACGUCCUCGGGCCAACGUCGCGCGCGUUUGGCCGGCGUCCUCCGGCCACGAUCUGGGCGUUCUCCGACUUCUGUGUCCUCCAGCACCAGCCAACGUCACCUGCGUUCUCCGUCUCCAGCCACAGUUGCCAGCGUUAUCGUUGCCCGCGCCUGCCGGUGAAGCCACCGUACUCACUGGUGAGUUAACCUCUGUGCCGGGCUGCCGGCGGUAAUGAUUUGGGUGCUUUAUUGCUUUUGACCUAGCGAAUCUGAGGAGGCCGGCGCGUUAUGGCGCUGCUUGUGCUCUGAAUUGAUGAUCUCCUUAGGUUCUUGCUGUUUUUUAUUCACCUACAAAAAUCGAGCUUGAGAAUUGAGAUCCUUCGGUUCCUCGCCGCCUGGAUCCGUGCCCGAUUCAGGACGACGCCGCGUGGGAUGUCGGCGUCCCCCCACCCCCCCUCCUGGUCCCGCAGCGUUGAGCAGCCUGUGCAUCUCUCCAACUGAAGAGUUGCAUCUCUCCGACUGUUGUCAAUCCGUAAGAUCCCCGCCUCCAGUCCUCCACGAUCAUGACGGCGACGGGUGCUGCAUGUUGCUCCUCCAUCAACAGGAAUGGUACAGCACUCCACCCACACUCAUGUAUGCUUGAGUUUGAUCUAUUUUGGAGUUUACAGCUGCUCUCUCCUCGCAUGGUGUGCUUGCGAUUAAUCGUGCAGGACAAUCCUCAAACCUGGUUUAAAAAUUAAACAAAUCAGGCAAUUCGAUCUGAAAUCUACAGAUUAUGUGUUAUUUUAAUGAAUUUGCCUUCUGUGACAUGGACGUGUGCAAGCCGCCAUUCUGUAUCAUUCUAUUGAAUUUGCCCUCAGUGCCAUAUAUAGACGAAGCUGCAGUCUUCCGUGCAUGCCGCCAGGUUGCAGAUCAUCGAUGACAGCUUGGUAUCCUUAACCCUCUCGCAUUGCCCUUUGCAAUGUUUCAUUUUUUUCUAAUAUUUCUACAUGGAAAAUCUUACUGCAAGAAAAUUGGGAGUGUAGCACAGGAUAUAUGUUCGAUGAAAUGUCUAGAAAAUAAAAUCAAAGAUUCAAAGCCACCAAACCUCAUUUGUGGAUCGUCAGGUACAUAUGAUCCAAGUUUUAUGAUUUUUAGCAGCUACUAUAGCUUGUUUGAAAUAUUUGUAGAUUCAACUGAUUCAAACUGGUCAUUGAGCAUUGAGAGCUCAACUUGAUUCUAGACAUCUAAGAUGACGACCAAUAUUCAAUAGUUCUCCGAAGGUUCCUACAUCGUGUUAAACAUUCUCUUUUCUCUUGCAGGAGAGUUUAGUCUAUGUUGAGUCAUUCUGCUUGUUUGCCAUGCUGAUAUCAAGUGCAGUUUUCCAACCAUCCCUACAUGCACAAUUAGGAACGUCUAGGCUCAACUUUUGUUUGUUACAAUGCUUACCUAAUAAACAUUACUUACUUCGGUGAAUUGGUUGUACAUCAUAAUUGCAGAUACUAUCAUGAUUUAUUUGGCAGAGAAUACUGGGUGUGCAGUACUCAAUCCCAGAGUAUGCCCACAUAUCUCCACAGUGAGGAUCGGAUCAACAUCACUGAGAUAUAUAAGAAACCAUCCCUGUUUCAUGAAGAACCACCCAUUAUUGAAAGCAGUCGUUGUACUUCCUCGGCGUCUGCUUCUAGCUCCGCGCAGGCGAGCAAUCCACCGACCACCGCAGUCGUGCACUGCACUGUCCUCCCUAUCAAAGUAAACCAAAUAUUUUUUAUUCCCUUCUCUCCUUGCAUCGCGCAUCUCUUGACUGUACCAUUAGAAUUUGUAUUGGCUCAUUUGGGCUCUAUGCUAGGGGCUUGCUCAUCUAUCCACCUUAUGUUAGACCAAAUGCUCGUUAGCGAAUAAAUAGUUGAGAACCUCAGUUCUUGCUCAACCGUGUGAACUGAAAGAUUCCCGAUCUAGGUCACGAACGUUAUUAACAAGUUAGCAACCACUGCAGUUUAGUUAGAUAUUUUGUUGGUGCAUUGACUAAUUACCGCUUAAGUUUAGUCAGAUGUUAACAGAUCGACUGAAAAAUGAAGGAUUGCAUAAAUUCAUAUUUGCAUUUGCAUUAUAGAUUAGCUUUUUUUUUUGAGAUCGCAUUAUAGAUUAGCUUAAUUCACAUUUGUGGUGCUUUGUAGUUCAUAGCUGAGUGUGCAGUUGUUUGCUUUUUUAAGUCAUAUUUUUUUCAGGGUAUGAUAAGGUAUGUCAUAUGUGACUAUGUUUUACUUCAUGCAACCUCUUUGUUGAUGGUGCUUUCAACCAAGCAGUUGCAUGUUUAACAUCUUAGGUUGGUGUUAUUUUCCUCUUCAACUUGCUAGGACUGAACUGAACAUACAUUCUUAAGGAAGAAAACUAGCACUGAACAAUACCAUUAUUAUUAUAUUUUAUAUUCUCAAUACUGGAUUAUUGAAACCAGAGGGAAUCAUCCUUUCAGUUGAGGGAUAGACAUGCUACGAUGCAGGUAGAGAUAUCAAUAUUACAACCUAUGUAAGUCGAAAAGUAACGUCAAUUUCUAUCAUCUAGAUCUCAGUCUUCAUUUAUUGGUAUUGAUCAUCCUGGGAGAUUUCUGGUGAUCCCCUUUAGUUGUCAGGUUUGACCACAACUACAUAGUUCAGUUGAAUAUGGAGAAGAAACAAUCAGUAAUUAACUUGAUCGAAGGCUUUGCAAAAUAUAAAAGCCUUGGAAUUUGGAGGAGUCAGGUUUAGUUUUGUUCAAAAUCCAGCAUAUGGUAGGAGAUUCCAAUUGACUAAGACUGCUACUAUGGUUGAGCCCAUGUAUUCAUGCUUGCGUUCUUACCUAUCAAACCGGGUAAUUAUGAGAAUUAUAAAAGCAUUCAUUUAUAUGUCACUUAGAUUGAUCAAGAUGAACAUGUUAGGCUCUUUUAUAUA